rnacentral:rRNA from 1 species
UACGUAGGGACCGAGCGUUGUCCGGAAUCAUUGGGCGUAAAGAGCGUGUAGGCGGCCACUUAAGUCCUGCGUGAAAUCCUGCGGCUCAACCGCAGGCGGUCGUGGGAAACUGGGUGGCUAGAGUGCGGGAGAGGAGAGUGGAAUUCCUGGUGUAGCGGUGGAAUGCGCAGAUAUCAGGAGGAACACCAAUGGCGAAGGCAGCUCGCUGGGACGGUACUGACGCUGAGACGCGAAAGCGUGGGGAGCGAACAGG